UAAUUGCAGGUAGACUUCGCCCGGACUCCUACGGGAGCCAGAUCUCGUCGCCGACUCCGGCUGCGGGAAGACUCCAUCCGGACUCCCACGGGAGCCAGACCUCAUCUCCGACUUCUGCUGAAGGGAGACUUUGUCUGGACUCAUAUGGGAGCUAGACUCCGAGCUCCUCUCAGAUGGGUAGCUAGCCACCUCUCUCCACCAGACACUCCAGCCGAACUUCGGCCGACAGGCCUGGACCCUC
rnacentral:lncRNA from 1 species